UACGUAGGUGGCAAGCGUUGUCCGGAUUUACUGGGCGUAAAGAGCGCGCAGGCGGUCGUUCAAGUCGCGUGUGAAGCCCCCGGCUCAACUGGGGAGGUCACGCGAUACUGAUCGACUCGAAGGCAGGAGAGGGUAGUGGAAUUCCCGGUGUAGUGGUGAAAUGCGUAGAUAUCGGGAGGAACACCAGUGGCGAAGGCGACUACCUGGCCUGUUCUUGACGCUGAGGCGCGAAAGCUAGGGGAGCAAACGGG
rnacentral:rRNA from 1 species